rnacentral:rRNA from 1 species
AACGAACGCUGGCAGCAUGCCUAACACAUGCAAGUCGAACGAGACCUUCGGGUCUAGUUGCGCACGGGUGCGUAACGCGUGGGAACCUGCCCUUAGGUUCGGAAUAACUCCCCGAAAGGGGUGCUAAUACCGGAUAAUGUCUUCGGACCAAAGAUUUAUCGCCUUUGGAUGGGCCCGCGUUGGAUUAGCUAGUUGGUAGGGUAAAAGCCUACCAAGGCGACGAUCCAUAGCUGGUCUGAGAGGAUGAUCAGCCACACUGGGACUGAGACACGGCCCAGACUCCUACGGGAGGCAGCAGUGGGGAAUAUUGGACAAUGGGCGAAAGCCUGAUCCAGCAAUGCCGCGUGAGUGAUGAAGGCCUUAGGGUUGUAAAGCUCUUUUACCCGGGAUGAUAAUGACAGUACCGGGAGAAUAAGCUCCGGCUAACUCCGUGC